CAAACACGUCUCCCCUGCAUCGGCAGGCGGACUCCCAACCACUGCGCCACCAGGGAAUUCCUCCCUUACUCUUUAAGGCUUCAUUUUUUUCCUUCGGGAUGUUUCUGCAGCAUCUUCACCUUGUCGUUUUCUACCUUCAGUACUGUCCAGAGACCAGAUGGCCAUGCAUCUCUCUGUGGGUCCUUAAAGGCAGGAACCAUGCCCCCCUUCCUAGCAGCACCUUGCAGAGGUGGCCACAUUCUGGAGAUGGAGGCUACAUGGGCCAGCCACCUUCCUCAUCUGGUGAUUCCAGGGCUCCAGACUGGGGGAGGGAAGUGGAGGCCUGAGGACAACACACAUCAUACUUCAUGGUCCUUUACAGGCUGAGGAGUCUGGUUUGCUCUAGAACCAACUGUAGCCACUGCUGGGAUCCUCUUUAUGGUGCCUGCCAAUCCAUGGCAUGGGGAUGAUAAACAACUCUGGUGGAUGGAUUUAAUGGAUGAAGGAAACAAUUUUCCUAGGGAGAAAGAAAGUGGUUUGUUUUUAAGACUUGGUUCCUCUCUUGGUCCUGGUGGUUUGUGAUCUAUAAAGAUCUAUUCAGCUCAUCUCUAUGGCUCCUUCCUGUUUACCACUUUCUUCAGAUCCUGAUACCACUAAAGAUACACAAUUUCCAAAAAUGUUGAAGUAAUAUAGGAAAAAUAAAAUUAUUUUGAUCAGUGGAAUUGGGGGAGGGAUGGAAAUACAGAUAAUUCUUUUUUAAAAACUUUUUUUGGUCAAAUAUUUAAAAGUUAAAAAUUUAGCAAGUUUGGUAAUACAAACUUUCCUCUUACUUUCUGUACGCUGAGUCUUUUGAAUCAUCUCUCGGUUUUAGUCUCUAUAAGAGGUUAAGAAGGUGCCAUUGCCAGGACUUAGAGUCCUGGUUUGGAGUGAGAAAAGGCUCCACCAACCUGGAGCGAGAGUAUCUGACUUUUCAUCACGAGGCACAUGAUCAAAAAGCCACUUGUUUGUGAUUACAGUGAAGUCCAGAAGGGCCUCCCUCUACUGAUGAAUACUGAACGUGAUUCAUGCGUGUGUCAAGUACAUAUGAAGGCCUUCAUCCCCUUUUUCCUUUUCUUAGCCAUCCUUCAGAGUGCCCUAGUUUCAUGGUGUGCUUUUGGUGGAACUAUACUGAACACUUCAACUGAAUAAAGCAUUACUUUCGGCUUAA